GGAACAAGUCGGGCAAUCGCUUUUGUCGUUAAAGAUAAAAGAGGAAAGUCUGAACACUGAAGGGCGGCGAGCCGGAUAACAACCGGGCGUUUGACUGCAAAGCCAAGCGACGACAAGUGCAACAGAAAAUAAACCAGCCGAUUCGAUUCAAGAUUUUAGAUUUUGGAUAAGUGAUGGGUGAUGGGUGAAACGGUGCGGUUCAUAUUGAACUUAAAGUAAGAGCGCACCAGCGCGUUUGGUAACAAGCGCGGCUGGGUAAACUCCUCGCAGUGCAAGACCAAAUAGGGAAACACAAAUGAGUUGCCCGCUCAAUCUUCUAAAGAAAUUUAGAAAAUGUUUCCGGGUAGGUCGCUUGAGCUGUUUGGCGACAAACAGCCUAGAUGAAUGAUUGCCGUCUGUUUUUUAACAGAUACAAAAUUCGGCUUAUAGACUUGUUCCAAAU
rnacentral:RNase_P_RNA from 1 species